UCUAAUAUGGCAGAAUAGUGCAAUGAAUUUAAGCUUCAUAUAUAAAGACAAGUCUUUUAUUAGAA
rnacentral:tRNA from 1 species